CGCGUAGGCGGAUUGUACAGUCAGAUGUGAAAUUCCCGGGCUCAACCUGGGGGCUGCAUUUGAUACGUGCGAUCUUGAGUGAGAAAGAGGGUCGUGGAAUUCCCAGUGUAGAGGUGAAAUUCGUAGAUAUUGGGAAGAACACCGGUGGCGAAGGCGGCGACCUGGUUCUUGACUGACGCUGAGGCGCGAAAGCGUGGGGAGCAAACAGGAUUAGAUACCCUGGUAGUCCACGCUGUAAACGAUGUGUGCUGGAUGUUGGGUGACUUAGUCACUCAGUGUCGUAGCUAACGCGAUAAGCACACCGCCUGGGGAGUACGGCCGCAAGGUUGAA
rnacentral:rRNA from 1 species